UAUGGCCAUAUCACAUUGAAACACCAGUUCCAAUACAAUCACUGAAGUUAAGCAACAUUGUGCUUGGUCAGUACUUAGAUGGGUGACUACAGG
rnacentral:rRNA from 1 species